rnacentral:rRNA from 1 species
CCGGUUGAUCCCGCCGGACCCAACCGCUAUCGGGGUGAGGCUAAGCCAUGGAAGUCGCACGCCCCGGUCACCGGGGCGUGGCAGACGGCUGAGUAACACGUGGCUAACCUACCCUCGGGACGGGGACAACCCCGGGAAACUGGGGCUGAUCCCCGAUAGGUGAGGAGGCCUGGAAGGGUUCUUCACCGAAAGGGUCUCACGGGGAUGUCCGUAAGGCCGCCCGAGGAUGGGGCCACGGCCCAUCAGGUAGUUGGCGGGGUAACGGCCCGCCAAGCCGAUAACGGGUAGGGGCCGUGAGAGCGGGAGCCCCCAGAUGGGCACUGAGACAAGGGCCCAGGCCCUACGGGGCGCAGCAGGCGCGAAACCUCCGCAAUGCGCGAAAGCGCGACGGGGUCACCCCGAGUGCCACCCACUGAGGGUGGCUUUUCCCCAGUGUAAGAAGCUGGGGGAAUAAGCGGGGGGCAAGUCUGGUGUCAGCCGCCGCGGUAAAACCAGC